rnacentral:rRNA from 1 species
AAUCAACGCUGGCGGCGUGCCUCAGACAUGCAAGUCGAACGAUUAAAGCUCUCUUCGGAGAGUGCAUAGAGUGGCGCACGGGUGAGUAACACGUAAGUAAUCUACCUUCGAGUGGGGAAUAACGUCCGGAAACGGACGCUAAUACCGCAUAAUGCAGCGGCAUCGCAAGAUGACAGUUGUUAAAGAUUUAUCGCUUGAAGAGGAGCUUGCGGCAGAUUAGCUAGUCGGUAAGGUAAUGGCUUACCAAGGCUACGAUCUGUAACCGGUCUUAGAGGACGGUCGGUCACACUGACACUGAAUAACGGGUCAGACUCCUACGGGAGGGAGCAGUCGGGAAUUUUGGGCAAUGGGCGAAAGCCUGACCCAGCAACGCCGCGUGAAGGAUGAAGUAUUUCGGUAUGUAAACUUCGAAAGAAUGGGAAGAAUCAAUGACGGUACCAUUUAUAAGGUCCGGCUAACUACGUGCCAGCAGCCGCCGCAGUAA